GACGAACCGUCCAAACGUUUAUUCGGAAUCACUGGGCUUACAGAGUUCGUAGGCGGUCUGGAAAGUUGGGUGUGAAAUCCCUCGGCUCAACUGAGGAAGUGCAUCCGAAACUGGCAGGCUUGAGUACUAAAGAGGGUCGCGGAAUUCCCGGUGUAGAGGUGAAAUUCGUAGAUAUCGGGGAAGACACGGCGGCGAAGGCGGCGACCUGGGUAGAUACUGACGCUGAGGUGCGAAAGCGUGGGGAGCAAACAGG
rnacentral:rRNA from 1 species